GACGAACGCUGGCGGCGUGCCUAACACAUGCAAGUCGAACGGAACUGUUUUGAAAGAUUUCUUCGGAAUGAAUUUGAUUUAGUUUAGUGGCGGACGGGUGAGUAACGCGUGAGUAACCUGCCUUCAAGAGGGGAAUAACAUUCUGAAAAGAAUGCUAAUACCGCAUGACAUAUCGGAACCACAUGGUUUUGAUAUCAAAGAUUUUAUCGCUUGAAGAUGGACUCGCGUCCGAUUAGUUAGUGGGUGAGGUAACGGCUCACCAAGACCGCGAUCGGUAGCCGGACUGAGAGGUUGAACGGCCACAUUGGGACUGAGACACGGCCCAGACUCCUACGGGAGGCAGCAGUGGGGGAUAUUGCGCAAUGGGGGCAACCCUGACGCAGCAACGCCGCGUGAAGGAUGAAGGUUUUCGGAUUGUAAACUUCUUUUAUUAAGGACGAAAAAUGACGGUACUUAAUGAAUAAGCUCCGGCUAACUACGUG
rnacentral:rRNA from 1 species